UACAACCCUAAAAUGUUCCAGACCAGUGACUUUUGACCAAUUACAUUAAAGUUAAAGGUUAGAAUCACAGCUUAAAUUUACGUGAGCUGAAACUAAGCAGCUCACGUAAAAGUAGAAUAGAGUCUACUAACCUUUAAACGUCAUUAAAUGUGGAAGUAGCAGCUCUUACGGACGUGCCACCGUUUACGGGGAGAGCGUCAUCACCAUAGCAACAGAAACUGUCACUUGUUAAGGGGUGAGGCGUACAUGCUAUCUAGUGAUAGAGUCGAACAGCGUGAAGUCCUACUUGUGGCCCUUCUCACCUGUGCACUGCUGCUGUAAUCUGCGGAUCUCUGCAUGCAGCCCCUUCAGCGUGUUGGCGUGGUCCUGCUGGAGGAAGAGCAGGUUUUUCUGUGCACUCUGCAACUGAUUUUCCAGUGUUACAUUUGCUGACGCCAUGGUGGAUUUUGUUCGGACACACAACUGGCCUCGCAACCUCCAGGCGGACAUGACAGAAAGGAGACGAGGUAGAGACAAAAUGAUCACUACCCAGUUCAUCACAUUAACAAAUAAAAACAGAAUAAAGGUAAA